CCGUUCGGGUUGUAAAGCUCUGUUCUGCGGGAAAAACGGGACCGUCCGGUAAAUAAUCGGAGGUUGUGAUGGUACCGCAGGAGAAAGCACCGGCUAACUUCGUGC
rnacentral:rRNA from 1 species